rnacentral:lncRNA from 1 species
UGGUGUUCUCCCCCUACAAUGAAUAUUGGAGACAUUUACGAAAGAUAACUGUGAUGGAGCUCUUAAGUGUCAACCGUGUUUGGUCAUUCAGAUCGAUAAGGGAAGAGGAGGUAUGGGAUUUGAUUGAAUUCAUUGCCUCAUCUGAGGGACUUAGCAUAAAUCUCAGCGACAAGAUUUACACCAUGACAAGUGAUUUCCGGGGCAGCAUUUGGUAACAAGUGCAAAUAUCAGCAUGAGUUUACCACAUUGGUUGGGGAAAUCAUACCUCUUGUUGGAGGCUUUAACAUCGCUGAUUUGUACCCUUCCCUUACAUUCCUUUGUUUAAUUCUUGAAAAUAUUGUCAGUGAACAUAAGAUGAAGAGAAAAGCUAGUAACAACACCAAUGGUGAUGAGCGAGAUCUGGUGGGCAUGCUGCUUAAUUAUGAGGAAGCUAAUAAGCCUGAGUUUCAUCUCACAACCAAUCAAAUCAAAGUGGUCGCCAUGGGAAGACCUGUAUACAGUCAAACAAUAAAACCUUUUUAUCGUACAACAGUAUAAUCCAUUGUAACUUCACCAUGUUUUCAGGACAUUUACUUUGCAGGCACUGAAUCUUUUGCAACCACAAUCGAAUGGGAACUGUCAGAGCUACUAAGAAACCUGAGAGUAAUGGAGAAGGCUCAAUCCGAGGUGUGACAUGCAUUCAAGGGAAAGAACAAAAUUGAAGAGGAAGACGUUCAAAAGCUAGAUUAAUUGAAACUAGUCAUCAAAGAAACAUAACACCCUUUGGGUCCUUUCAUCCCAAGAGAAGAAAAGGAAAGAUGCAAAAUUAGUGGAUAUAAAAUACCAGCUAAGGCCAAAAUCCUUGUCAAUGCAUAGGCAAUAGGGAGAGAUCCAAAAAUUUGGGCUGAUCCGGAAUGCUUUCAACCAGAACGUUUUGAAGGUUCUUCCAUAGGCUUCAAAGGGAACAGUUCCGAGUUGCUCCCAUUAGGUGCAGGUGCAGGAUUUGUCCAGGCAUCUCAUUUGCUACUUCAAACAUUGAGCUUGGACAUGCUCAACUCUUGUACCGCUUCAACUGGAAACUUCCAAAUGAUACUAAAUCAGAAGCCCUUGACAUGGCUGAGAAUUUUGGAAUCACAGAGAGUAGAAGGAACAAUCUGCAUGUGAUCGCCACCACACAUAUUCCUUUCCGUGAAUGA